rnacentral:rRNA from 1 species
UACGGAGGGUGCGAGCGUUGUCCGGAAUCAUUGGGCGUAAAGGGCGCGUAGGUGGCUCGCCAAGCAGGCGGUGAAAGCCUGGGGCUCAACCCCGGGUCGGCCGUGCGAACUGGCGAGCUGGAGCACUGUAGAGGCAGGCGGAAUUCCGGGUGUAGCGGUGGAAUGCGUAGAGAUCCGGAAGAACACCGGUGGCGAAGGCGGCCUGCUGGGCAGUGGCUGACACUGAGGCGCGACAGCGUGGGGAGCAAACAGG